rnacentral:rRNA from 1 species
CCUACGGGUGGCAGCAGUGGGGAAUAUUGGACAAUGGGGGCAACCCUGAUCCAGCCAUGCCGCGUGUGUGAAGAAGGCCCUCGGGUUGUAAAGCACUUUCAGUGAGGAAGAACGCCUGGUGGUUAAUACCCAUCAGGAAAGACAUCACUCACAGAAGAAGCACCGGCUAACUCCGUGCCAGCAGCCGCGGUAAUACGGAGGGUGCGAGCGUUAAUCGGAAUUACUGGGCGUAAAGCGCGCGUAGGUGGCUUGAUAAGCCGGUUGUGAAAGCCCCGGGCUCAACCUGGGAACGGCAUCCGGAACUGUCAAGCUAGAGUGCAGGAGAGGAAGGUAGAAUUCCCGGUGUAGCGGUGGAAUGCGUAGAGAUCGGGAGGAAUACCAGUGGCGAAGGCGGCCUUCUGGACUGACACUGACACUGAGGUGCGAAAGCGUGGGUAGCAAACAGGAUUAGAUACCCGAGUAGUC